rnacentral:rRNA from 1 species
AUGGGUAGGGGAGCUUCCCAUACGGGUUGAAGCAUGACCGUAAGGACAUGUGGACAGUAUGGGAGUGAGAAUGUUGGCAUGAGUAGCGAGAUGUGGGUGAGAAUCCCACAGGCCGUAAACCCAAGGUGUCCAGGGGAAGGUUCGUCCGCCCUGGGUUAGUCGGGACCUAAGCUGAGGCCGAAAGGCGUAGGUGAUGGACAACAGGUUGAUAUUCCUGUACUGCCGAUAACCGUUUGAGAGA